CGGCGGAGACCGGGAGCGGUGAGGGCACGGCCGGGGUAAGAGAAACAGCGGAACGCUGAGGGCACGGCCGGGAUGGGAUUCUGCCGCUGGAUCUCAAAGUGCUGGGAGUGGAGCUGGGAGCAGAAAGGAUGACUCCUGCCCAGGAAAACGUUUGUAAACGUGUCAAAGGUGGUCCGUGUGCGCCCUGAGAAUGAGAAG